GAUGAACGCUGACAGAAUGCUUAACGCAUGCAAGUCUUUGGCGAAGCUGUGCUUGCACAGCCUAGCCAAGGCGGACGGGUGAGUAACGCGUAAGGAACUUGCCCUGCAGUCAGGGAUAACAGACGGAAACGACUGAUAGGACCUGGUAAAGUCAGGCGGACUCAUGUCCAGCCUGAUGAAAAGAGAUGCUGCAGGAGAGCCUUGCGUCCUAUUAGCUUGUUGGUGGGGUAACGGCCCACCAAGGCGAUGAUAGGUAGCCGGCCUGAGAGGGUGGACGGCCACAAGGGGACUGAGAUACGGCCCUUACUCCUACGGGAGGCAGCAGUGGGGAAUAUUGGACAAUGGGGGCAACCCUGAUCCAGCAAUUCUGUGUGCACGAUGAAGGUUUUCGGAUUGUAAAGUGCUUUCAGCAGGGAAGAAAAAAAUGACGGUACCUGCAGAAGAAGCGACGGCUAAAUACGUG
rnacentral:rRNA from 1 species